rnacentral:RNase_P_RNA from 1 species
GGAGCAGGGCAGAUGAUCGCCGGUUCCAUUCGGAAUCGGAGGAAAGUCCGGGCUCCACAGGGCAGGAUGCUGGGUAACACCCAGUCUCGGCGACGAGCAGGAAAGCGCCACAGAAAGCAGACCGCCCCGCCUUCGGCGGGGUAAGGGUGAAACGGUGAGGUAAGAGCUCACCAGUCCUGGUGGUGACAUCGGGAGCUAGGCAAGCCCCAUCCGGAGCAAGACCGAAUAGGAGAGCGUUCGAGGGCGGCCCGUUCGAGCUCUCGGGUUGGUUGCUUGACCCUGUCGGCAACGGCAGGGCUAGAGGAAUGAUCAUCGCCUUUCCGCUCUCGCGGAAAGGUACAGAACCCGGCUUACGAACUGCUCCGGAU